GAUGCCGUCUGGGCCUGCAGCCUUGCGAGGGUUAACACGUUUAAAUGUCUUACUCACCUCGGUUGCAGUGAAGGAGAGUGUGUGUGUGUGUGUGUGUGUGUGGAGCCUGGCAGGCUUACUGUGGUAUCCACACAGCAACAGCUGAGACGCACAGGGCUGAGAGAGAUGACAGCUUGAGAGAGCAAGCUGAAGGACUGUGGGGAUUGGGACGUUUUAUACAGCAGUCUGUGGUGUCUGUCUGCCUGUCUGCCUGUCUGUCUGUUACCCUCUCUCAACCCAGUCAAUGACACCACACUGUCAAUGGUAGUGACUCAUGCCUAAGGCCUAGUUUAUAUGGCCUAACAUGCUGUGUUUCCCUCCUUAUGUUUCUGCUGCCUGAGAGUGGUGUUACUUUGACAUGAACAGACAGGUGCAGGGGAGUGGUGUUACUUUGACAUGAACAGACAGGUGCUGGGGAGUGGUGUUACUUUGACAUGAACAGACAGGUGCUGGGGAGUGGUGUUACUUUGACAUGAACAGACAGGUGCUGGGGAGUGGUGUUACUUUGACAUGAACAGACAGGUGCUGGGGAGUGGUGUUACUUUGACAUGAACAGACAGGUGCUGGGGAGUGGGUGUUACUUUGACAUGAACAGACAGGUGCUGGGGAGUGGUGUUACUUUGACAUGAACAGACAGGUGCUGGGGAGUGGUGUUACUUUGACAUGAACAGACAGGUGCUGGGGAGUGGUGUUACUUUGACAUGAACAGACAGGUGCUGGGGAGUGGUGUUACUUUGACAUGAACAGACAGGUGCUGGGGAGUGGUGUUACUUUGACAUGAACAGACAGGUGCUGGGGAGUGGUGUUACUUUGACAUGAACAGACAGGUGCUGGGGAGUGGUGUUACUUUGACAUGAACAGACAGGUGCUGGGGAGUGGUGUUACUUUGACAUGAACAGACAGGUGCUGGGGAGUGGUGUUACUUUGACAUGAACAGACAGGUGCUGGGGAGUGGUGUUACUUUGACAUGAACAGACAGGUGCUGGGGAGUGGUGUUACUUUGACAUGAACAGACAGGUGCUGGGGAGUGGUGUUACUUUGACAUGAACAGACAGGUGCUGGGGAGUGGUGUUACAUUGACAUGAACAGACAGGUGCUGGGGAGUGGUGUUACUUUGACAUGAACAGACAGGUGCUGGGGAGUGGGUGUUACUUUGACAU